rnacentral:tRNA from 1 species
GCACACGUGGCGUAAUUGGUAGCCGCACCAGACUUAGGAUCUGGCGCCGCAAGGUGUGUGGGUUCGAGUCCCUCCGUGUGCA